GUGCCAGCCGCCGCGGUAAUACGUAGGGUGCAAGCGUUAAUCGGAAUUACUGGGCGUAAAGCGUGCGCAGGCGGUUAUGCAAGACAGAUGUGAAAUCCCCGGGCUCAACCUGGGAACUGCAUUUGUGACUGCAUGGCUAGAGUACGGUAGAGGGGGGAUGGAAUUCCGCGUGUAGCAGUGAAAUGCGUAGAUAUGCGGAGGAACACCGAUGGCGAAGGCAAUCCCCUGGACCUGUACUGACGCUCAUGCACGAAAGCGUGGGGAGCAAACAGGAUUAGAUACCCUGGUAGUCCACGCCCUAAACGAUGUCAACUGGUUGCUGGGAGGGUUUCUUCUCAGUAACGUAGCUAACGCGUGAAGUUGACCGCCUGGGGAGUACGGCCGCAAGGUUGAAACUUAAAGGAAUUGACGG
rnacentral:rRNA from 1 species